UGUUUGCAGCAACCCGGCCCAGCCCGCCACCCUGACUGGCACACAGUAGGCGCUCAGCGCGGCAUUCACCUCUGAUGUGGACAGUCGCUGCCCUUGCAGAGCUGCCAGGUGCCUCCAGCGCUCAGAACCCCUUGUCAGGCUCCAAGACCUCGAGCGCCUGGACACCUGUCCUCGGUGACCUGAACGUUUAUUCUGAUUGGCCAAUUCCUGUCCUACUGGUUAUUCAAUGUUUUGAACGUUGCCCUGGUUACACAGCUGGAUGGAAGAGGCAGAAUCCAAACUAGGCCCUGGUGCUGGAACCACGCUCUGAACAACGAUCCUCCAUCCCUCUAGCGCCGUCACCACCGGAAGCAGGACGCCGCAGGACAAGUACAGGCGGCCCUCCGGGUCCGUGGGUUCCGCGGGUUCCACAUCCGUGGAUUCAACCAACCGCGGAUCAAAUAAAAAAAAUUUUAAAUUG